GUAUAGGUUUACAGGCACAAAGGCCCAUUGUAUUACAUUCUAAAACAUACAUUGGAGUAUAUAAAGGAACAUAGACCCAAGGAGAGACAUUAAAGCCAAUCCUCAAACCUGCGUGUCUAGCACUCAGAGGGAGAUCUACAAAAGGUGCACAGGUGGAGACAUAAAGAUGACAAGCGUGCACAUGCUCCCUAGAGAACCAGCAGCAACUCAUCAGGUUUAUUUCAAUAAUGAUCCUUCCGCAGGUUCACCUACGGAAA
rnacentral:misc_RNA from 1 species